rnacentral:rRNA from 1 species
UACAGAGGGGGCAAGCGUUGUUCGGAAUUACUGGGCGUAAAGGGCGCGUAGGCGGCCUUCUAAGUCGAACGUGAAAUCCCUGGGCUCAACCCAGGAACUGCGUCCGAUACUGGAAGGCUUGAAUCCGGGAGAGGGAUGCGGAAUUCCAGGUGUAGCGGUGAAAUGCGUAGAUAUCUGGAGGAACACCGGUGGCGAAGGCGGCAUCCUGGACCGGUAUUGACGCUGAGGCGCGAAAGCCAGAGGAGCAAACGGG